rnacentral:rRNA from 1 species
GACGAACGCUGGCGGCGUGCCUAAUACAUGCAAGUAGAACGCUGAAGAGAGGAGCUUACUCUUCUUGGAUGAGUUGCGAACGGGUGAGUAACGCGUAGGUAACCUGCCUUGUAGCGGGGGAUAACUAUUGGAAACGAUAGCUAAUACCGCAUAACAAUGGAUGACACAUGUCAUUUAUUUGAAAGGGGCAAUUGCUCCACUACAAGAUGGACCUGCGUUGUAUUAGCUAGUAGGUGAGGUAAUGGCUCACCUAGGCGACGAUACAUAGCCGACCUGAGAGGGUGAUCGGCCACACUGGGACUGAGCCACGGCCCAGACUCCUACGGGAGGCAGCAGUAGGGAAGCUUCGGCAAUGGGGGCAACCCUGACCGAGCAACGCCGCGUGAGUGAAGAAGGUUUUCGGAUCGUAAAGCUCUGUUGUAAGUCAAGAACGGGUGUGAGAGUGGAAAGUUCACACUGUGACGGUAGCUUACCAGAAAGGGACGGCUAACUACGUG